UAAUUCCAAUAUUAGCACUAAUAAUUUCUCCAUAAAAUAGUGUCUUCAAGAAAUAUCAUGAAGAAUUUUCCAAGGUUUUAAUUCCAUUUUCUUCAGAAGAAAACCAAAUCCAUUGACAACAAUGAACCCAAAAGCACAUCCUUUCUUUUUACCAAAGUUCUUGGGGAAUUCCAAAUGCUAAAUUAGACAAAAACUGAACAUGAUAAAACGUUGCAGAAAGAAAAAAAAAUCCCUACUAAAACAUAUGGCCAUUGAUUAGUACUUAC
rnacentral:misc_RNA from 1 species